GCUCUAAGCCCGCCCCUCUCCAUAUAAGGGAGCUGUUAACCAAUCAUCGCUCUCUUGGUUCCUGUACUGCAAAGCAGUAACAUCUCUCUUGGGUUCCGGACUAGCAGAGAGAGAGGAGAUCGGUGAAAACUUACAAGACAAAACUAGGCCUGAAGCCUACCAAUUCAGCAGCUUACUAAACCUAUUGCCUGUGUGUCUGUAUGAGGAGUCCAAAUACAGGAAGUGAAGGUGGACAAGCAGGGCUCCGUACGCUGAGGACAAGCAGAGCUCUGUAUGCUGAGGACAAGCAGGGCUCUGUACACAGAGGAUAAACAGGGCUCUGUGCACCAAGGACAAGCAGGGCUCUGUGCACCGAGGACAAGCAGGGCUCUGUGCACCGAGGACAAGCAGGGCUCUGUACACAGAGGACAAGCAGGGCUCUGUGCACCGAGGACAACCAGGGCUCUGAGCACUGAGGACAAGCAGGGCUCUGUUCUGUGCGCCGAGGACAAGCAGGGCUCUGUGCGCCGAGGACAAGCAGGGCUCUGUACACAAAGGACAAGCAGGGCUCUGUGCACCGAGGACAAGCAGGGCUCUGUGCACCGAGGACAAGCAGGGCUCUGUGCACCGAGGACAAGCAGGGCUCUGUACACAGAGGACAAGCAGGUCUCUGUGCACCGAGGACAACCAGGGCUCUGAGCACUGAGGACAAGCAGGGCUCUGUUCUGUGCGCCGAGGACAAACGGGGCUCUGUGCGCCGAGGACAAGCAGGGUUCUGUGCACUGAGGGUCUGUGACACGCUCCUAGCUCACACCUGAGGAUGAUUGACGAGCCAGGAGCCUGCACAGAGCCCUGCUUUUCCUACCCUCACUUCCUGUAUUGGACUUCUCAUAGAGACACACACAUAGAGCUGCAGGGAUAGCACUUUUUCACCCAAAAAUGUAAAAAAAAAUUUACCAAUGUAUAUUGCAAAUAUACAUAUAAUAGUAUUAUCUACAUUAUAUAAAAAAAAUGUUUACGACAGGUACACCUUACUUCUUUCAGCCGAAUAUUGAGAGAAAUGCUUUUAGGACUGGAAAUGGCUGCAUGGCCUUAGCACUGACUAAUUCAGUUGGCACAGACCACACUAUUCGAAUUUCUGAGCUGAAUUUCUCCGCUUGGACAUUCAGUAGUGUGCAUGGACCUGUAGUUGCCCCUGUGAUGUCCCAGUACAGGACCCGGUCUUGUAUUACCCUUAGGCCCUGUCAAGUUGAGUCCCUCAGUGACCUGGGGGCUCCCCUGCAAGGUCUCCCGCUGUUGGUUUUAUAAAGGUGUGUGUGUCACUUCAAUACCUAGACAGGAUCUCUAUGUAUAGGUAGUAUAGAGGACCUGAGGGAGGUCUCAAGGACCUGUAUAAGUCUGUCACAUGUUAUGUUAUGCAUUCUCAUGAUUUGUUGUCACAUGUUCUCCCAGAGAGCACCAGCUUAACCUAUGACCCACAGCUUGACCAAUGGGCUUUAGUCCAGCCCCCCCUCACUAUAUAAAGGGGCGGCAAUUACAGUUCACUCUUUUAGCACUUACCACCAGCUACCCUACUGAGCUCAGCUACCAUAGAAGUGAUUAGCAUCUGGAAGGCCACAAAAUCUACAGUCUCUCCAGUCUAUUUCUGCUGUCACUGAAACUAGUCAAGUCCUGCACAUAGUCAAGUCUAAUUUCAAGUCAAGUUAACUACAAGUAUAUUGGUCCAGCAAGCUGCGAGGUCCUCUGGGAGAUAAUAACACCUGUCUUCUACUCAGUAAAGCCUCCGUUUGACCAUAA